GGCAAUCGGAUGGCAAUUAGCCUCAUUAGUGAGUCACUUGAGAUAAAUUAUUCAUCAGUCCACAGGGCAGGUGAGAGAAGGACCACAAGUCAGUCAGUAUCAUUUCGAUGACCUGAUGAGAAAAGGACUCUAACAUACAGUUCGUCUCAAAGCUCGAUUAGUUCAAGCUUAAUGAAAUGAUGACUCUCUUUCAUGCUUUAGUAACCACUUCAGCUGAUUUCAAACAUACCACCAAUCGAACAGAACCUCUCAAAAUCAGCAGAAUAAUCUGCACUUUCUUUUUAACAGCAUGUUAAAAUUCAAAGCAGUUGGAAACCUGCCAGAGCAACACAUUAGAUUAGAAUCUGACAAGUGCACAAAAGCUAGCAAACAAGACAAUUUCAUUAAUAGAUUCAUUGUGCACACUCUUACAAAGUAAAUAUUUUCAGCUGUGAAACUUCUGUAAAUAAAAUUCAUCGCUUCGCUGUUUAUGUGGGUUGCAAUGUUUAGAACACAUAGUACAAGCAGUUACCUUCCAUAUCACAUUUUACAUAACUGAUAUGAUAAAUGUUGUUUGACU